rnacentral:rRNA from 1 species
UGGGGAAUCUUGCACAAUGGGGGCAACCCUGAUGCAGCGACGCCGCGUGAGCGAUGAAGCCUUUCGGGGCGUAAAGCUCUUUCGACCGGAACGAUAAUGACGGUACCGGGAGAAGAAGCUGCGGCUAACUACGUGCCAGCAGCCGCGGUAAUACGUAGGCAGCAAGCGUUGUUCGGAGUUACUGGGCGUAAAGAGUGCGUAGGCGGUUUUCUAAGUUCGGUGUGAAAUCUCCCGGCUUAACUGGGAGGGUGCGCCGAAGACUGGGAAGCUGGAGUGUGGGAAAGGCAGGCAGAAUUCCUGGUGUGGCGGUGAAAUGCGUAGAUAUCAGGAGGAACACCGGCGGUGUAGACGGCUUGCUAGACCAUAACUGACGCUGAGGCACGAAAGCGUGGGUAGCAAACA